GUCCAGCUGACUAGUCUCAAAUAAGACGAAACGCGCAUUCUGGAU
rnacentral:hammerhead_ribozyme from 1 species